rnacentral:rRNA from 1 species
UUUUAAUCCAACAUCGAGGUCGCAAGCUUUUUUAUCGAUAUGAACUCUCCAAAAAAAUUACGCUGUUAUCCCUAAGGUAAGUUAAUCUUAUAAUCAAAAUAAUAUGGAUCAAUAAAACAUAAAUUAAUGAAAUAAUAAUUAAAAGUUAAAUAAAUUUUAAUGUCACCCCAACAAAACUUUUAAUUCAUAAGAAAAAUAUAUAAACUAAAAUUUAAAUUUACUAGAAAAAGUAAACUUCUAUAGGGUCUUCUCGUCCUAUAAAAAAAUUUUAGCUUUUUAACUAAAAAAUUAAGUUCGUAAUAAUUUAAAAAAGAAAGUCAAUUUUUCAUCAAACCAUUCAUACUAGCCUUCAAUUAAAAGACAAAUGAUUAUGCUACCUUAGUACAGUUAAAAUACCGCAGCCUUUUAAUUUUUAAAAAUCAAUGGGCAGGCCUGAUCUUAUAUAUAAAACAAAAGACCAUGUUUUUGUUAAACAGGCGA